GUCUUACGAAUUUCAAGUACCAACAUGAUUCGCCUAUUUUAUCACAAGUUUUCUAUUAUGGAAGAAAUUUCCAAGGAAGGAAGCGAAGGCGUUUGUUUCUUCAUGAUUAUUGCAUGAACACAGACGCGGCGAUGUAAGAAUGUUUGGUGCAAAAUAGUAAACAAGUACUUAAGACCAUUAACUACGUUCCAUCGAAGAAGCUUCAAACACAAACAUUCAACAUUAACAUAAAAACGUCCCGCCCUUGCAACUCCUCCCAACACCAUUCUAAAACACCAACGUCUGCCCUCCCCAAAGCAAGUUAAAGAAAAUAGAUAGACAACACACACAACAUAUUUCAAUAAAUGCUCCUUUUUCUGCAAUAUCCUAACAACCUUCAUCCCAUGGCAUACUUCUGUGUCCAGCUCCUGGCCGUGGAUUCAUAUUUGGCCUUGUCGGACUUGUACAUGUGGGCAAUCUCCGGUACAAGAGGGUCGUCGGGAUUUGGAUCAGUAAGCAAGGAGCAGAUAGAGAGCAGGACCUGAUACACAUAUAAUUUUCAGCUGCAUAACCAACAACCAACUACUAUAUUGCCAUAAACUCAAUAUUUGAAACAGUAUUUUUACAUCAACAUCAAGAGUUUCCUCUCAAUCCACCACCAUCCAACCCCUUAUUAAAGCCAGAUUUCAACAUAGGCAUAUACUUAUAGAUUUACUGAAAUAGACUUAACAGAUGACAAAGCUUGAAAAAACUUGUACAGUUAAUGUCAAAUAAUUUCACCACAAAUAGAAGUGUAUUUGUAGGACACUGAAAGGUGUGACGAAAAUGAGAGUGAUGUUGAUCGUUUAAAUAUUUUUUAUAUAGCUGUAAUCUCAUUGUGGAGGCUUAAUUGGACCUUGGGUAGAAGGGAAGAAAGCUAGCAAAAUGAUUGAGAAAUAAAGAAGGACAAAACAAUUUCUUAAUGAACUGGGAAAUUUCAGUUCCUUUCCCUCAAAUAUCUCUGAGAUGAGAUAAAAAGAGCACGUAUCUGCUAUCCAACUUACUUUGCAAGAUCCAAAGAUGCACUUGGGAGUACAACUUUAUGAUCCCAGGGUCAGUUUUACCUGGCUGUGCAAGACCAGAGAGUUGUACGCCACUACUAAACCAGAAUAAAAAGAUUUUAAACACAUAAAAUGCUACUAAUUAAAUCCAAAAGGAGGGAAUUCAAACCUUUGAAAUGGUAAGCGCUUGAUUUGCAUUCAAAAGAAUAGUCACCUUUGGGGGCUUGAAAGGAUAAUCAGGAGGAAAAUGAAUGGUAACUAAAAAUACACCUCCUGCAUAUGGGCUAUCAGAAGGGCCCAUAAUUGUUGCUUGCCAGUGGAACAUGUCUUCAGCCACAGGGCCUGUUAAAUCAUCAAACAAGCAUUGAAAGACUAUCAAAAUCACAAAUUUAGUUUAGAUUAGAUGAAUUGAUUAAAAAUAAAAAUAAAGUUACACAUUCAGUGGCAAUACAGGCACAGCAUUUUUUACCCAAUUGAUGUGGCAUAGUAGACAACACUCAUUGAUAGGUGAUACUUAAUUACGCAUUAACAAUGAAAUAGUAAAAUCAACAACAGCCUCCAAUAAGCUACACAUUAAAGAUGGGAUACGGCGUUGUUCCCAAUUGACAUGGCCCCCAUUGAUAGAGGCUUACUUAAUUUCACAUCAGUAUUGAAAAUAAUAAAGUCAACAACAGCCUCCCAUAUGACAGCUAUUGUUCAAGAACAUGUAAAUCUUUUGUUAUCCAAUUAUAGGAUCGGGAAUUAAAUAUAAAUGUAGAUUUAGUUCAUUCAGUUUUUUAAUACAUACAAAGAAAAAGUGACCAUAAACUUCAUGCUCUCUUUGGAAAGGUUGAAAACAACCAGCAGCCAAUGAAACGACUCCAGCAUGAUAUACGUCGGUAGCCAAUCAGAAUUCAGAAUCAAUCGUAACAAAUUUCAACAACGUGUUGACACAAACAGCAAAUAUAGAUCAAGUAAACCCUAUCACCAAAUGAUACGAAAUAUAAGUAAUCUAAAAUGUGGUUCAAAUUGAAAAGUAACAAAAAUUUAUACCAGCGCUGCAAGACGUGGGAGGAUCCUUCUGCAAAUCCUUGAGUUCCUUCAAAAUACGCUUUGAAGCCAUGACUCUUCAAGGGAUUAUUAAAAUUGAAACUACAACGAACCUUAAGACCUGCGAAACUAUAAACAGAUCCAUAUACGGCUUCUUAAUUAGACUAUCCAAGCCUGUAAAACAACAAAUUAUUUGAUCUACUGCAUCUGAAUAAAAAAGUUCAAAUCAAAAUUUCGAAAAUACUAAAAAUAUAACUACGCAAACUGACCUUGCGCGGCAGAGAACAGGAUCGGAGAGCGAUAGCGUCGAGAAAGCGAAACGGUGAAGCAGAUCUAGGUCGUCAAGCCGCCCCCGCCUCGCUCCUCUAUCAACCCCUUGCUUUGUUGUCCUUCAACACAAAUAUCGUCGAGAAAGAACGUAUCGUGUUCUUUUGCAUAUAUUUAUAUACGUGGCAAAAUUUAUUUUUCCCCAUUUUUUUUGUUAUUUCUUGCAAUUUUUUAAUUAUCGUUCUUAUCCAGUUUAUUAAUAUUGUUUGUUUUGUUAGUCUCGUUAUUUAAUUUAGGGUGCUAUAACUAUUUUAUUUAUUUAUUUAUUUAUCUGGAAAGGAACUUGCGGUGCUACUACUGGCUUUGGAAUUUAUAUUCCUUGUUUUAAAGGUUACCUCGAUUACUCAAAGUUGAAUUCUUGUUGAAUCACAUGGAUUCCCAUGGUCGUGGCUACAAAAGUCAACUUAUUCGUAUAAAAGAUAUAUUAUAUACUAUAUUUAUUUUCUUUAAAUUCAUAGUUGAUCUUGAUGCCCAACGACAAGAGUGAGAUCAAAAAAAAUAUAUAAACUUUAAUUAUAAAUUAUUAAGGGCUGAUUUUGAAAAUUUUAUAGAUUCCGUAGGAAGGGAGAUUGGAUUCCAGACUAUAAUCAAUUUCGGUUUUCGGAUAUGAGAUACUUUUAUGUGUGUACUACAACUCUUAAAACAUAUAAUAAGUUAUAAGUCAUACUAAUCAAUUCACAAAGAAUGUGUUUGAAACAUAGCAUUAUAGAAAUUAAAAUAAUGUUCGUAUUAACUUACUACCAAUGAUAUGUUUAAUAAAAUUUAAGAGAUCAUUGUGGUAUUAUAAUGUUAUAAAUAUAAAUUAUUUUAGUAUUAGAUAAUAAUAUAAUAAAUAAAACAUAAAAAUAUCAUAUGAUAUUAUUACUUUUUUUAAUUAUACUCUAUUGAAUAUAACAUUAUACAAUUAUAUAUUUAACAAUUAAUAUACAAAUAAUUAUUUAAUACAAUUAAUAGUAAUUUUAAAUAAUAUUCAGUUAGUAUUAGUAUAAAAUUAAUAUAGUAUAGUGUAACAUCAAAUGCUGUAUAACAUUAUUAUAAUAUAAUUUUAAUAUAAUGCAAUAUUAUACAAUACGCCUGCAUUAAAUAAUAUAAUACAAUGUAACAUACACACCUUAUUGAUAAAAUAAUAUCUCUUAUGAGGUAUAAGACCUUGGUAAGACAUAGAAAUUUAGAAACAGUGAGGUUUCUAUCCACUCAAGAUAAUAUUUUAAAAGGGUAUUUGGUCUUUGAUAAGAUCAUAAAUUCUAAAAAGUCUCUUGAAGAGUUACAGGUUGAAAAUGAUGAAAUGUCUUUACUCACACUUGAAAUUGUGGAAUCGUAAAGAAUAUAGUCCCGUGGGUUUUUACUGAACAAAGGUCAAAUACGAUUAUUGCAAAAAGUAUGUAGCUAAACACAUGACCAAUUGAUAUGCUUCAUAGGCUGUAAAUAACCAUUAUCAUUUGUAUAUUUAAUUUAAUUAUCUUACACAGAUUUUAAUUUGUAUUUAGUUAAAAAGUUUUUUAAUUUUUUAUUGAAAAAUACAUAAGUAAUUAUUACUUUAUUAGUAUAAUUCAUUAAAUAAUUCUUAAAAGUAAAAAUCGCAAAAAAUACAAUUGGCCACCUACAGUGAUAUGUGCACGGAACAUAACACAAAAGAACAACUCACUAUCACCAAAAGAUUAAAAAAAAUAAACAAAUAAAAUAACUACAUGACAAAAAAUUCAGUACAAGAUAAAAAAAUUUCUCAUCUUUUGUGUAUUUUAUACUAUUUUCCACACAUAUAACUCCAAAAAAAAAAAAAGAAUAUUCUUUUGCCGCCGAAGAGGUUUUCAGUGACCAGGCACAGCCGCCAGGAUAUUGCAACAACGUCAAGCCUCAAAAUUUGCAGAACUUGUCAAACCACGGAAUAAAACAUAUGGUACACAAUAAAUAGAUUUCUCUAGUCAUAAUCCAUAACGCAGUUCAAAUAUUAACAUUAAUUCCCCUUUUGUUUUUUGCAAAUUUUAUCUAAUGAUAGAAUUAGUCAAAAGAGGAGGCAUUUGUAUGAUGUAAAAUGUUCGGUGCAAAAAUAAUGAAAGUAUUUUUAGGACAACAAACUACAUUGAAUGAUAGGAGUUUCAAACAAUAAACAUUCAACAUUAACAAAAUCGUCUUGCCCUUGCAACUCCUCCCCAAACAUCCUUCCUCAUUACUAAAAUACAAAACAUCCCCUUCCCGAAGCAAGAUUGAAGAAAAAGGAGAAAAAAACACAACAUAUUUCAUAUAAAUGAGUUCCAUUUCUGCAAUAUCCAAACAACUAUCCCAUGGCAUACUUCUGUGUCCAGCUCCUGGCAGUGGCUUCAUAUUUGGCCUUGUCGGACUUGUACAUGUGAGCAAUCUCCGGUACAAGCGGGUCGUCAGGAUUUGGGUCAGUAAGCAACGAGCAGAUAGAAAGCAGGACCUGAUACACAUACGUACAUAGUUAGAUAACUAACAAACAGUUAAUAUCUUGCCAUAAAUUCACUGCUUGAAAUAAUUUUCUCAGGUCAACUUCAAGAGUUUUCCCUCAAUUCACCACCAGCCAACACCGCUCCAGAUUCCAACUUUGGCAUACUACUUAAUAGAAUUACUGAAAAUUCUGGAGUAACCAGGAUAAAAAGCUUGCCAUGACUUGUACAGUUAAUUUCAUAUAAUUUCACCCCAAAACAAAAGCACAAUCACUAGGUGAGCAAUAGGAAAAUGGGAGUGAUGUGGAACAUAUAAGAAACUAUUACGUAGGUGUAAUCUCAUUGUGAAGGCGCAUUGAACCUGGGUGCAAGGGAAGAAAACUAGCAAAAUGCUUAAGAAAUAAAGAUGGACACAAUUUAUUGAUGAAUUGGCGAUGUCUGUUCCUUUCCCUCAGUUAUCCCAAAGGUAAGUUAAAUAGAGCACAUAUUUACCAUCUGACUUUCUUUCAAAGAUCCAAAAGAUGGACUUGGGACUUGGGAGUUUAACUAUAUGAUCCCAGGGUUGAUUUUAUUUAGCUGUGUUGCAUGCCACUACCAAACUAGAAUAAAGAGAUUCCAAACACAUAAAAUGCUAAUAAUGUAAAUCUAAAAGCAGGAAAUUCAAACCUUUGAAAUGGUAAGAGCUGGGCUCCACUGUUCUUUAAGGAUAUCAAGACAUAUGCUUCCAUUGCUGUUGAUGUUUGGGUGGAAGACCUUGG
rnacentral:lncRNA from 1 species